rnacentral:rRNA from 1 species
GAUGAACGCUGGCGGCGUGCCUAACACAUGCAAGUCGAGCGAUCUUCUUCGGAAGAGAGCGGCGGACGGGUGAGUAACGCGUGGGUAACCUGCCCUGUACACACGGAUAACAUACCGAAAGGUAUGCUAAUACGAGAUAAUAUGCUUUUAUCGCAUGGUAGAAGUAUCAAAGCUCCGGCGGUACAGGAUGGACCCGCGUCUGAUUAGCUAGUUGGUAAGGUAACGGCUUACCAAGGCGACGAUCAGUAGCCGACCUGAGAGGGUGAUCGGCCACAUUGGAACUGAGACACGGUCCAAACUCCUACGGGAGGCAGCAGUGGGGAAUAUUGCACAAUGGGCGAAAGCCUGAUGCAGCAACGCCGCGUGAGCGAUGAAGGCCUUCGGGUCGUAAAGCUCUGUCCUCAAGGAAGAUAAUGACGGUACUUGAGGAGGAAGCCCCGGCUAACUACGUGCCAGCCGCCGCGGUAAGAC